UACGGGGGGUGCGAACGUUGCUCGGAAUCAUUGGGCGUAAAGGGUGCGUAGGCGGCCCUGGUACGUCGGGCGUGAAAGCCCUCGGCUCAACCGAGGAAGGGCGUCCGAUACGGCCGGGCUCGAGUGCCGGAGAGGGGGACGGAAUUCCCGGGGGAGAGGUGAAAUUCGUAGAUCCCAGGAGGAACACCGAAGGCGAAGGCAGUUCCCUGGCCGGCAACUGACGCUGAGGCACGAAAGCGUGGGGAGCAAACAGG
rnacentral:misc_RNA from 1 species